AGCUCCAAGAAUACGCGGAGGAGGUGGCCCGGGUCGGCGUAGGCGCUGUUCGGCGCGGGCCACAGGCCCGCUUCCAAGUGCGUCUGUGUGACGGCCACCCACGCCGGGUCCUUCAAAUGCCGCUUCCACCGCACCAACUCCCAGGGCCACGGCCACGGCCAGGGAAGCCGCCUUUCUUCGCCCCCUUCACCAGCCGCGGCCAACGCGGUGCCGCGGCACCCGGUCUUGCCGUCCUCGUCCUCCGGCACCGUCGCGAGGCAGUGA
rnacentral:rRNA from 1 species